rnacentral:rRNA from 1 species
CCCCAAUGGGCGCAAGCCUGAGGGAGCGACGCCGCGUGGGGGAUGAAGGUCUUCGGAUCGUAAACCCCUGUUGCCCGGGACGAAGUUCUGACGGUACCGGGUGAGGAAGCUCCGGCUAACUACGUGCCAGCAGCCGCGGUAAUACGUAGGGAGCGAGCGUUGCUCGGAAUUACUGGGCGUAAAAGGGUGUGUAGGUGGACAUGC